rnacentral:rRNA from 1 species
UACGGGGGGGGGCAAGCGUUGUUCGGAAUUACUGGGCGUAAAGGGCGCGUAGGCGGCCUGCUAAGUCGGAUGUGAAAUCCCUCGGCUCAACCGAGGAACUGCAUCCGAUACUGGCGGGCUUGAAUCCGGGAGAGGGAUGUGGAAUUCCAGGUGUAGCGGUGAAAUGCGUAGAUAUCUGGAGGAACACCGGUGGCGAAGGCGGUUCUCUGGGCAUGUCCUGACGCUGAGGAGCGAAAGCUAGGGGAGCAAACGGG